rnacentral:lncRNA from 11 species
UGCUACUGGCUAUUGCCACAGCACAGUGAGGGAGUUGGGAGGCUUUGCACCUAAUUUUACCACAAAAAAUGGGAAAACUCCUUGACUUGAGUAUAAGCCGAAGGCGGGAAAUGCAGCAGCUACUGGAGCGACUUGAAAAACUGCAAGUUGCUUCUGGUGUGAGAGAAUUGGCUAUCUGCAAGGAUGUUGCCCAGCGGACGCCCGGAUAUUUUUUAAAAUGCUUUUACCAUCCUUGUGGGAGACUUCUCUCAUGUCUCUGCAUGGAGCUGGAGCUGAUAGACAGAGCUCAUUUGCGCUUUCUCCAGGUUGGAUUCGAACCCGCAACCUUCAGGUCAGCAACCCAGCCUUCAAGUCAUCAGUCCUGCUAGCACAAGAGUUUAACCCACUGUGACAUCGGGGGCUCCUACCUUAAUGAGAUCAACCCAACAUAUCUCAACAACUCUUUAAGGAAGCCCAGUUGGAGCUGAGACAAAUUGUAUCUGGUCCAAGAUCAUCUGCUGGUUUUCAUGGCUCAUUGGGGACUCGAGUCAUCAUCAAGGGCUCUUAAGAACGACAUCUGGACUUGUUGUCUGGGUAUAAAAAGCACUUUGACUGGGUGGGAGGCAUAAUUUGCUACUCCAUCUCUAGCAACUAUCAGUGUAUGUUGAAUCCAAUACAAUUCCUCUAUAAAUAUUUACCUGGCCUUUGUAUAUUCCAUCAAGAUUAAAAUUGCUCCGCUGUGUAAUAAAUUUGAAGCUAUCUUCCAGGCAGGGCCAGUUUUAUUUUG